GAUGAACGCUGGCGGCAUGCCUAACACAUGCAAGUCGAGCGAAGCGGGGACGGGUGAGGAACACGUGUAAAACCUCCUCUAAGACUGGGAUAACGUCGGGAAACCGUAGCUAAACCGGCUACUAAUAGAUGGAUCCGCGCUGCAUUAGCUAGUUGGUAAGGUAACGGCUUACCAAGGCAACGAUGCAUAGCAGACCUGAGAGGGGGAUAGGCCACACUGGAACUGAGACACGGUCCAGAAUCCGACGGGAGGCAGCAGGAGGGAAUCUUCCGCAAUGGGCGAAAGCCUGACGGAGCAACGCCGAGUGAGUGAAGAAGGUCUUCGGAUCGUAAAACUCUGUUAUUAGGGAAGCGGUACCUAAUCAGAAAGCCACGGCUAACUACGUGCCAGCAGCCGCGGUAAUAC
rnacentral:rRNA from 1 species